CGCCCCGCGCGGCCCCGCCCCCCCACGGCUCCGCCCCCGCCUGCCCCUGCCGACACCGGGAACGGCACCGGGUAACGGAGCGGUACCAGUCACUGGGCAACAGCACCAGGUAAUGGCACUGAGUAACGGCACUGGCCAUCGGACACCAGGCACCGGGUAACAGUGCUGGUACCGGGCACGGGAUAAUGGCAUCAGGCAGUGGCACUGGGUGACAGGUACCGGACACCAGCAGAGGUUAAUGCCACCAGUACCAGCACCAGCAAGAGGUAAUGGCACAGGGUGUCAUAAGUGAGUAGUGGCACAGGCACUAGAAUUCAAAACAGCUUGAGGCUUCAACACCAGCAGCUGUGGUAGGACAGAAACCAGCACCAGAAUUUAGCAGUAAGUACCGGGGAAGCCCAAAGCAGCACCAGGCCUUGGUUCUGGGAGUAGGAAUGACCAAAUCAGUACCAGGUGGCCACAGACGUGGCUGCAGGGCUGCCUUGUGCUGGGCCCUCUGUGUGAAGCAGCCCUGGCUGCGUGGUGCUCAUUCCCACCACAGGCCUGGGCUGACACUUUGCAGCUACGUGCAAGGCCAAGAUCCCCAGUGCUGCCACAGCCUCCAGCACCUGCUGGGACAAGACGCUGCAUCCCCUUCUUCCAAGCUGCCACGUCCCCUGCAAGCUGUGAGGAGACCCAAGGCACUGCCAGCUCCUCUGCAGUUGCUCAAACAGGGAAAGUUGACAGCAGCCGUAAGAAAACCAUCCUGAGGAGCUCUUGCACAGCUGGCACCCACAGCAGACUCCUCCUGGCAGCACUGUCACCCCAGGGCAGUGGGGUGCCCAGGUGAUGGGCAACCCGGGGUGCGGCUGCUGUGCGGUGAUGGGCAGAGGUGCUGGCAGGAAGCAAUACUGGGUGUGCUCGUUCUGCCCCAGCGCUUGCACCCACCGCAUGGGAUCUCCUGGGCUUUCACUUUCGCUACCAGCUCAUCCUCUGUGGCCUGAAAAAACUCUGGAGGGAAAUUCAGCAAACAGGUCCCUCUCCUGCUCCGGGCUGGUAGAAGCACAGGUGACCCUUCCCCGGUGGGAAUCCAGGAAGGAGGGGCUCGUCUCUCCUUGUGCCAGUGCUGGAACAGGAUCGCUCUCAGACAGCUGGUGCACCAGCAAUUGCAAAUCACUUGGCCACUGUGUCAGAGCACAGCCCCAAGUUCCCACCUCUCUACUCCUUUUAUCUAUUGCUCUUGAACUAAAGUCCUCUGGCUCCAGCUCAGACUCCUCACUGCCUCGUCCAGCUCCACGCUUCCAAGAGAUAAAUACCUGUGGGCUGGGCAGGCACCAGCCCAGCACCUGCUCCAUGCAAACAACAGCCACAAAACGGUGCUUUCCAACUGCCAGCCCCACUUCGUGCCUGAAGCAGCCUUGGUGAAUGACUGAAUGAGUGACUCCAGCCCGAACAGCCCUCAGCUCCCACUAAAUAUUUUGCUGCCUGUGCUCACCCUCUUGGGAGAAUCUCACGCACAAAGGCUGACACAUCGCUGCUGAGCCACUGCCAGCAGAGCCCUGGCUGCAGUUCCCAGUGCUCCUGGGGCACUCCAGACCUCACAGAGAGGUGAGCUAGGACCCUGGCAAGUGGGGACAGGCACCCAAGGUGAAGCCAGCAGCUCCCACACUGUCUGUAUGCAAUGAAACAGAAGAAAAGGAAUGGAGAAUGCAGCACAGGGCCCUGGUGCCUGCCCACCCUGCUUGGCUGGGACGCUCUUGCUCUGGUCCCAAGGAAAACUCCAAGCUGGCUGGUGGGGAUGUUACCAGGAGAAAUUCUUCCUUUCCAGAGGAAAAGAACAGAGGAACAGUGACUGAAGCAGUGACCAAUGGAGAGGCUGCCCCUGGAUCUGCCCUGGAACUGCCCCAGCUCCAUCCCACCGAUGCCCCAAAGCAAUCUUAGCCCUGCCCUGGCUCUCUUUGGGCCUCAGAAAGUCUCGGGAAGCCUCUGGGAAGGUGAGCAUUAUCCAGGCUGAGCUGCAGCCGGACGCAAGGCCACCUCGCAUGAGCUCAGCAGGAUGCCGAAUGACGCUGCGCAUUCCGGGGACAGAGGGAGUCUGGAGCUUCGUAAUGGAUUUCCGAGAAAAUUGCCUCUGUGUUUGGAGCAGGAGUGCAACGAGUGCAGGCGGAACAGCCUUCCUCCCUAAGUGGCAUCUCAAGGGUCUUAAUUAUUUCUCAGGAGUGGAAACAUUUAUUUAGGCGGCUUUGGAGAGGUCCUGACGCUUUUGGCUACUGCCCUCCGGGCACAUCCUGCAUGCAAGGCUCCUCUGCAAUCCUCCCUGCUGCUCCCGGGAUGUGCGGAGUGCUGGGCUUGGGCAAAGCACAAACACCCAACCAUGUCACCUGCGGGCAAGAACACCGCCUCGCCUCUGCUCCAUCCCCUCCUGCUUCCUGGGAAGCAGCAGGACAUCUCAUGGGGGAGCCCAGCCCCAUCCCAUCCCUGCUUUGCAUCCCUCACACUCCCAGGUCUCAAAACAAAACCCCGUUGUGAUAAUCCAGCCCAGCUAAUGUGAAACAGAUGAAUCCCCACAUUAGUCACAGAUUCACAUUUUCCCACAAAGGUCCCACUGGAGAACCAGUGAGGAUGGGCCCUGCGGGGUUCCAGCCCUGCUGCUGGUGCAAGAGGCAGCCUGUGAAGAGUGGGGCCAGCAGCCGAGGGGACAGGGCAGCAGCACAGACCCUGCCAGAACCCGGCCACCCAUGGACAGCACACGACUUGGAGCCAUGGGCAGGGCAAAGGGGGGGCACCAGAGAUGCUUGUCACUGGCACAGGCUCAGCCUGAUGGUGCCUAGUGCCAGCGGGAGGGGAUGAUCUGUUCCAGCAAAAACUGGAAAUGACAUUUUGUCCAAGGGGGAAUUUCCACAGGAAACCUCUGCUUCCAGCCACUCGGAUAUGGCUGGGAACAACCCAGCAAACAUUUGGCCUCAGCAGCCAAGCAGUGCCAUUGCUUGGGCAAAGACUCAUUGUUUCCUCCAUAGUUCCUCCAGCUAGGAAAGAACAUCCAGUUUCUGCUACUGAAACAGCCAAGACAGGACAGCGAGAGCCCGACUGGGUCUGCAGAGGGCACCAGAACCCCCCAUCAGCUCAGUGAGUAUCUCUGCACCUGAGGGGGCACGGGGGGCCCUGCAGCACCCACAGCCCAGCUGGGACCAAGGGCACAAUCACUUCAUGCCCACCCCAGUGCCGGGGCUGGCUGGGGGCAUCAGGAGCACACGCAGAGCACUUGACCCUUGGCCCCCACCCCACGCUGGUGCAUCCCGACAUCUCUGCACAUCCCCACGCAUCCCUGUCCUCUCCCUGCGUCCCUGCUCUCCCUUGCAGAGCUCAGUUGCCACAGUAACCGCUCAGUCCCAGCCACUCCUGCCACAAACGUGCAGCCACAGGUCAGCCCAGUCCAGCGGCUGCACCAGGGCCAGGGCCCUUCACCCCAUGUCGGGGUGAGCAGAGCCCUUGGUGCUGGUGCCACCACAGCCAGAUGCUGCAUUCUGAGCCAGGAUGGGACACCUGUAGGGAAACAGGCAGGAGGUGGUGUUUUUGGAGAUCACACUGUGCUGGAGCUCUGGGUCUGACCUCUGCCACGUGUGGCAGUAGAAGCCACCACUGCUUGGUUCUUCUCUGCUGUGUAUUUAUCUGAGUGUGAUGCAAUAUUUAUUUGACUGUUGUGUUCUGAGUACUGGAAGCAGGGAUUGGGAUGGCUCUUGGCUUGGGCAGCAGUGGCAUGUGCUCUGCAGCUCCACAUGUGUUGCUGUGGGAAGAUCCUACCCAGCACCUGGGAGGGCAGAGGCGAGCCUCAGACAGGUCCUUGGACAGGUGGCAACUGAGUCCCAGGGGUCUCUGCCUCCCAUCCCUCACUGCAGCCCUGCUCAUUCAGUUGCUUGGCCCUGGGAUAAGCUGUGGCCUCUCUAAUCCCUGUCUGCUGCCUUAUUCCCAAGGACCUGUUAAUAUUGCACAGCUCAGACACCCCAGGUACCUGUGGGACCCUACAUGAGCGCCUGCUCUGGACUGCCCCUGGUCCAGGGCUGCCCUGGCAGGUGGCUGCCCAUCCCCAUGGGGCCGCCCUGCACCCGUCACGCAAGUGUCCACAUCCCAAGCGGAUUAUCUGCAUUUGGAAACCCCUAAUCCGUUUGCACGCUUGGCUCAGACACUGUCCCCACUCCUCCCCACUGUGCUGCGGCCCUGGGCAAGGAGCAAAGCCACCCCGUGACCUCCUUUUGGAGCCACAAACAACCUUAUGCCCCAGCACAGGCAGAAAGCAAGGGCUGCAGCCCCGCGGGGCUGACUGG